rnacentral:rRNA from 1 species
GGCUAAGUACGGCUCCAGCCUACGACGGGUAGGGGGCCUGAGAGCAUGGCCCCCCACACGGGAACUGAGACACGGUCCCGACGCCUACGGGCGGCAGCAGUGAGGAAUCUUGCGCAAUGGGGGAAACCCUGACGCAGCGACACCGCGUGCGGGAGGAAGGCCUUCGGGUCGUAAACCGCUUUUCUGAGGGACGAGGAAGGACGGUACCUCAGGAAUAAGUCCCGGCUAACUACGUGAGCA